rnacentral:rRNA from 1 species
CAACCUGCCUUCAGGAUUGGGGGACAACAGACGGAAACGACUGCUAAUACCGAAUAAGUUCCAAGAGCCGCAUGGCCCAUGGAAGAAAAGGUGGCCUCUACCUGUAAGCUAUCGCCUGAAGAGGGGUUUGCGUCUGAUUAGCUGGUUGGAGGGGUUAACGGCCCACCAAGGCGACGAUCAGUAGCCGGUCUGAGAGGAUGAACGGCCACACUGGAACUGAGACACGGUCCAGACUCCUACGGGAGGCAGCAGUGGGGAAUCUUCCGCAAUGGGCGAAAGCCUGACGGAGCAACGCCGCGUGAGUGAUGACGGCCUUCGGGUUGUAAAACUCUGUGAUCCGGGACGAAAAGGCAGAGUGCGAAGAACAAACUGCAUUGACGGUACCGGAAAAGCAAGCCACGGCUAACUACGUG